UAGGGAAUCUUCGGCAAUGGGGGCAACCCUGACCGAGCAACGCCGCGUGAGUGAAGAAGGUUUUCGGAUCGUAAAGCUCUGUUGUAAGUCAAGAACGAGUGUGAGAGUGGAAAGUUCACACUGUGACGGUAGCUUACCAGAAAGGGACGGCUAACUACGUGCCAGCAGCUGCGGUAAUACGUAGGUCCCGAGCGUUGUCCAGAUUUAUUGGGCGUAAAGCGAGCGCAGGCGGUUUGAUAAGUCUGAAGUUAAAGGCUGUGGCUCAACCAUAGUUCGCUUUGGAAACUGUCAAACUUGAGUGCAGAAGGGGAGAGUGGAAUUCCAUGUGUAGCGGUGAAAUGCGUAGAUAUAUGGAGGAACACCGGUGGCGAAAGCGGCUCUCUGGUCUGUAACUGACGCUGAGGCUCGAAAGCGUGGGGAGCGAACAGGAUUAGAUACCCUGGUAGUCCACGCCGUAACGAUGAGUGCUAGGUGUUGGAUCCUUUCCGGGAUUCAGUGCCGCAGCUAACGCAUUAAGCACUCCGCCUGGGGAGUACGACCGCAAGGUUG
rnacentral:rRNA from 1 species